rnacentral:rRNA from 1 species
AACGAACGCUGGCGGCAGGCCUAACACAUGCCAGUCGAGCGAGACCUUCGGGUCUAGCGGCGGACGGGUGAGUAACGCGUGGGAACGUGCCCUUUUCUACGGAAUAGCCUCGGGAAACUGAGCGUAAUACCGUAUACGCCCUUUGGGGGAAAGAUUUAUCGGAGAAGGAUCGGCCCGCGUUGGAUUAGGUAGUUGGUGGGGUAAUGGCCUACCAAGCCUACGAUCCAUAGCUGGUUUGAGAGGAUGAUCAGCCACACUGGGACUGAGACACGGCCCAGACUCCUACGGGAGGCAGCAGUGGGGAAUCUUAGACAAUGGGGGCAACCCUGAUCUAGCCAUGCCGCGUGAGUGAUGAAGGCCUUAGGGUUGUAAAGCUCUUUCAGCUGGGAAGAUAAUGACGGUACCAGCAGAAGAAGCCCCGGCUAACUCCGUG